rnacentral:rRNA from 1 species
AAUGAGACUGCCGGUGACAAACCGGAGGAAGUGGGGAUGACGUCAAGUCCUCAUGGCCCUUAUGCGUAGGGCUUCACACGUCAUACAAUGGUCGGUACAGAGGGUUGCCAACCCGCGAGGGGGAGCCAAUCCCAUAAAGCCGAUCGUAGUCCGGAUUGCAGUCUGCAACUCGACUGCAUGAAGUCGGAAUCGCUAGUAAUCGCAGAUCAGCAUGUCGCGGUGAAUACGUUCCCGGGUCUU